UCCUCAGUAGCUCAGUGGUAGAGCAGUCGGCUGUUAACCGACUGGUCGUAGGUUCAAGUCCUACCUGGGGAG
rnacentral:tRNA from 1 species